rnacentral:rRNA from 1 species
CCUCGCAAAACGAGGAGGAAGGCGGGGAUGGCGUCAAGUCAGCAUGGCCUUUAUACCCUGGGCGACACACACGCUACAAUGGGUGGUACAGUAGGUAGCGAAGGAGCGAUCCGGAGCAAUCCUUAAACCAUCCUCAGUACGGAUUGCAGGCUGAAACCCGCCUGCAUGAAGCCGGAGUUGCUAGUAACCGCAUAUCAGCAUGGUGCGGUGAAUACGUUCUCGGGCCUU